rnacentral:tRNA from 1 species
CGCGAGGUGGAGCAGCAUGGUAGCUCGUCGGGCUCAUAACCCGAAGGUCGUCGGUUCAAAUCCGACCCCCGCAACCA